AGAUGGAAAACAGGUGGGUGAGGGGUCUGUUGUGAUCAGAGCAAGAGGGGCUGGCUGCAGGACUUCAGCAUGGAGAAAUGAGAGGAGGAUUCUGAGACAUGGGCAGAUUGGGCAGGACUGGAGCAUGUGUUAUGUCUAGACGUGUGAAUGAGGACUCCCAUCUCUGGUUUCUUCCUGCUUCCCAGUGACACUGGUGGGCCAUCCAUGCUUCUCUCAUUGGUCCCAUAAUUUAGAAAUAACAGCCAGAUUGGAGAAAAAUUAUAAUAGUAGAUCCCCAUGCUUCUUUGUAUCCUUUUUACAGGCAGGGAAGUAGAGACAUAGAGGAUUUAAAUCCCUUGACCUGAGUGCUGAGUGCUACACUGUGCUGUCCACAAGCACAGGGGGUGUGUUCUCAUUAAUCCUGCCUGGGCCUGGCUACCUGAACCCAGGAGGUAAUUUCAGAGGCAGCCAGUCAAGGAUAUCCCAAGGCCUGGGUGACUCCUCAGCUGUGACCGAGAAUAACCUCAGCCUCAGUCCUCUCCGACAGGAAGUAGGGUGGGCCUUGCUGCCAGGCUUAGCUCCAUUUAUCUCUCUGCAGCCUGAAGGCUGGGAACCCAAGAAGUUUCCCUUCCCUCAUUUCCCCAAUGGUGUCUGGGCAAAGCAGAGAUCAUGGUACCAACACAGGAUGCUAAAUUUCGGGUGAAACAAGCCCAAGUUAGAAUCCUGGCUCUGGUGUAUAUUGGCAGUGUAGGCUCAGUUUGGAGCACUGAGGCUCUGGUGCUGCCAAUGGGGAGGGAUUUCAGUAUGACAUGGCUAAGAUCACUUGUCCUGAAACUAGCAGAACUGAGUUCGAAAUCCAGUUGGCAUGCUAUUGACCACUUAUGUCACACAAACUUUGGGUAUGAUUUUAUAGGCAUAGAAGGGAAUCUUCCAUUUCUGAUCCACGGUUUUUUCACUUGCAAAAUGUGAAUAAAAAUAUCAACCUUUCUAUAAUGUUGCAAGGACACCUUGAGGGUGUGUCUACAAAAGGCUCAGUCCUGGAAGGACAAGGGCAUCUGAGCAUGGUCGGUGGGGAGCUCCAGCCCAGCACUCCCACAAUUCUCCAGUCCCCCCAGAUUCCCAGGUAUGGCCUAUCCUUCUUCCCUGAGGUCCUGAUCAGACACAUAAACAACCCAACACCAAGCAAGACCUGAGGCAAGUUGUCUGGAGAAGGAAGUCCAAGAAAUGUGAAAGAAUGACUGGGUCUGGGGUCCUGAUUCAGAAGGCAUGCUCAAGGAAGGCCUCCUGGAGGUGUCCUCUCAGCCAAGUAAAUAAUAAGGGCUGGGCUGGGGAUGUGGCUCAAGAGGUAGCACGCUCGCCUGGCAUGCGUGCGGCCCGGGUUCGAUCCUCAGCACCACGUACAAACAAAGAUGUUGUGUCCGCUGAAAACUAAAAAAAUAAAUAUCAAAAAAUUCUCUCUCGGGCUGGGGAUGUGGCUCAAGAGGAGUGCACUCGCCUGGCAUGCAUGCGGCCCGAGUUCGAUCCUCAGCACCACAU
rnacentral:lncRNA from 1 species